UGAGGGGACACCCGGAGACCAGUGACUCGGCUUCACUCAGUCGCCUUUCUCCCCCGUCUGUCUCCGCGCCGGAGCCGCAGUUGGGUAUUAAAGCUCAAGGAGGAUCUGGUUUGCCUGGGGUAUAGGAG
rnacentral:lncRNA from 1 species